UCAUACAGCUACCUAGUUCACCCCAUCAAUCAAUCAAUCAAUCGAUACAGUCACUCUUCAAAGCAUUUUGAGAGUUCUCCCACAGAUUUUAUGCUAGCUGGAGUUCCGACUUGUUUAUUAAAGUAGGAAGGUUGGAAGCGAACCAUAUCUAACAAACUUUUUUCAAAACGAAAAUUAAAAGCAAAUUAAACUUUCAUUGUCUUACGUCCCAUGUUAGGGGGGGGAAGCAGCUAAACAAUGAUGAUUUAUAGAUGGUUGCCUCGGCUAUUAUUUACUUUGUUUCAUAUCUGAAAGAAGAGUAAGGGAUAGGAUACGCCAAAGAUCCACCAUAAAACGGUUUAUCAACAAAAGGAUCAUCAUCGAAUUUGGUUUAUGAGUCUUUCAAAUGUACUCGUGUUUGUUAGUUUAACAUACUAUUGCAUCCACUAGAGAUAGUUAAGAGAAGCUGAUUUACAAAUGAUCGGUUUCGACAUGUCUGCCAAGUUAUACUUUUAACGUAUUACCAAGAAAAAAAAAUUUACGGGACGGGGAUUCCAUUCUUGCUGCUUUGGUUUAUACUGUAAGCAUAACAGCAAUCUUAAAUUGAAUCGUCUUUGCCAAGCGCAUUUGUAAGAGUAUUGUAUGCUAUGCCACGCAGUGCAUUUUCAUAUCCAACGCUACAUACAAUUUGUUGUUACUCUUUCUGUAGACCAUUUCGGAACGUUGAUUGAAGAUCGGAAAAUUUAAUGUUUCGUCCAGAAAUUGUCUGCAUAUGUAGUAUCACAGAGAGUGUCAAGUCAUAUCUGACAGCAUCAGGUUAAUGAGCUUAAUUUGGGCCAAAGGCGAGCUAGAAAAGAAGAAGAAAAAAAGAAAAAGUAAACAGUAAAGAAAAACAUAUAACGACUCUUAUUCAUCCUUCCUCAGCAUUCCCUUUUUCAUAUUUUUAUCCCAUUCUAAUCCUAGUCUAAGAAAUGCUGGCGAUAUAGACCGAGUCUACUGGUGUCUGGAAAGGAACAUAGCUAUAUCUAUAUAUAGAUAUAGAUAUAGAUAUGUAUGUAUGCUUGUAUUUCGUUGGCAGUUUUCUAGUUUAACUAGCAAAAUACAAGAAUUAAAAUUA